CCACCGAAAAACAUUAUCUUCCUUCCCACUUAGUUAAGACCGGUCAGUCUUGAGCUGAAACUUCAAAUUAGGGUUUGAAGAAGAGGAGGUUGUCUCUGAUUCAGAUCUAUCUAUACAAACAACUCCAAGGUAUGUAGUUAAUGCUUACAAGAUUCAUUACAAAUCUCUGAUGCAGAUCUAUCUAUACAAACUUCAAAUUAAGGCUUACAAGAUUCAUUACAAAUCUCAAUUUUAACCUGUAAAUCUAUGGUUUACAAGAUUCUUUACAACUUUAAGGUAUGCAAGGCUUACAAGAAUCUCAAUUUUCACAUUCACAUUCAGAUUCAGUUUAUUCAAAGAAUAAUUGAAAGUAAAUCUAAGAGAGUAAGCAAGUUGUUCUUACUAACAAGUAAGGCAAUAGCAGUAGAAAGGAAAAAGAAGAAGAGGGUUUUUAUUAAUAAGUGAUUUUGGUUCUUGGUAUGAGCGGGAUCGGAAAAACAUACCUUAACUCUGUAUCUGAAUUUCUAAUAGAUAUGAGUUGGUGCAGCUGACCCAUGGAGAUCUUAUAUAUAUAUAUAUAUAUAUAUAUAUAUAUAUAUUUUAAUUCCCUCCCAUGGCGAUCUAACACCACAUGGUAAGAGAGUUCUUCGAAAUGCUGUAUUUUGUCACUUGUUAAGUGUUUAACAAAGACGUUUUGAUUCAACUGAGGUGGUAAUCAACAAGGGUUAAGUUUUUAAGAAAGACAUUUUAGAGCUGGAGAUCGUCAAGUGUGCACAAGGUUUUUGCCUUUUGGUUGUGAGGGUUGUCAAUCCAGAAGAAAUUGAGGGGUGAUUGUGGAGCUGAAUCUCAAACCACAUUAAGUUUGGACAACACAACAGUCAACUAUCCCAGUUGCAGAAUGCCAAGAAACUCCGUCUUUGGAGGCGUCAAAUUUUCAUGAUCAGUUCAACCACAGAGACUCAGCCACUACUUCAGGUCUCAUGACUUAUGAAACAAAUUAGAAUGCUUUAAGCUGUCCAAAAGCGUAAAAAAGAGCAUGGUGAAUAUGAGACAUCUUAUGUACCUAGUUGCAGUUGAUUUAUAUAUAGUUGUUGAUAGCCUUACAAAAUCUUGCCAAGAUGAUGAAUGAAGAAGGACAAAGAAGGGAUCCUUACAUCUCCAGGACAUGUUCUGCAACAAAUAGAAUUAUUACUGCAAAAGACCAUGCUUAUGUGCAGCUUAACAUUGGUGAUAUUGAUGAGAGUGGCAAAUAAACUGGAGUUCUCUACCUUUGCCCUUGUUUCGUUUGUGCCCAGUGCAUAUGAUCGGCUAUGACAGAAGAAGAAAGUUGAAGUUGGUGCUUCUCAAGAUCUGCGGGCGUGGAUAUUCAAUGAACACCGCAAUAUUUAGUGUUUUUACAUUUAAUUAAGUUGAACAUUUAUUCGUAAUUUUGUGUACGUUUUCAUUUCAAGAAUCAUGAAAGUUAGUUUGAUCUUGUGGUGCCAAACCCAAUUGAUGCACUUUCUAUUUCUCAGGAGGGGAUUAUUUUUUAUUCUUUUUUCCGCCUUA